rnacentral:rRNA from 1 species
CUGAUCCAGCGACGCCGCGUGAGUGAUGACGGUUUUUCGGAUUGUAACGCUCUGUCAUUGGGGACGGUAGGUGAGAGUACCCCUGAAGGAGAACACGGCUAACUAUAGGCCAGCAGAGCCGGUAAUACUACAUGUGGCAAGCAUUGUCCUCCAAUUACUACUGUGUAAAGGGAGCGUAGGCGGGAGAUUAACUUGGAUGUGUAAUACCGGGGCUCAACCUCGGGGCUGCAUCCAAAACUGAACUUCUUGAGUGAGGUAGAGGCAGGCGGAAUUCCUAGUGUAGCGGUGAAAUGCGUAGAUAUUAGGAGGAACACCAGUGGCGAAAGCGGCCUGCUGGGCCUUAACUGACGCUGAGGCUCGAAAGCGUGGGGAGCAAACACGAUUAUAUACCCUGGGAGUCCACGCUGUAAACAAUGAUUACUAUUGUGUGGGGGGUCUGACCCCUUCCCUGCCGGAGUUAACACAAUAAAUAAUCCCCCUGGGGAGUACGGCCGCACGGCUGAAACUCACAGGAAUUUUCGGGGG